GACGAGCAAAUGUGUUAGUUUAAUUCUUAAAAAAGAGAGCGAUGAAAAGCGAAAGUAAAAUAAAUCAACCCCUUUUUCUUUCUCAUGUUCACAUUUGUCACAACAUGUGUUAACGUCUGUGUUAGGGUGUGUACAUCAGUGUGUGUGUGUGUGUGUGUGUGGUAGGGAGCCAAUCCCGCCCAGUGCCUCUUUGUUGCCCAACAUGGGAUCACAUCCACAGAUGACUGGGCCUGACGUGACUCUGUGGAGGCUUUGAACAUGAGAACACUAACAACCCAGGGCUAAGUAUGGGGAUUGCUUAGCAUGUUUUCUUCCAUGGAUACAUAACGGGAGGAGGGAAAUGAGUGUGGGUAGGGGUGGGCAUGUGAAAAAACAGUUUGUGCAAUGUCAUGCUGAACGGCAGCACACGUAGUCUGGAAACUAGCAGGUAUCCAGUCAAAAGUGUGUAGGAUUUGUCGACAAAUAGUGUUUCUACUCUGUCCAUCAACAUCAUCACCACGAGAAAACAGCGAUGGACCGGACAGUGUUUGGACAGCUGCCUGCCUGGCAUCACCCUCUGCCAGCCGUGUUAAGCGGCCGCUGGCCUGCUUCAGUUGCAAGUGUACUACGACCGCAGCACCCUGGAUUGGUGGAGGUGGACCGACCGGGUGGGUGGCUCAGCGGCUGCUGGCGGUGGUGGUGGUGGUGGGCUGUUAUGUAACAUGGUGCGGUCAGAGGAUUGACGUCCCUCUUUAAAAGUCAUGAAUUUUGGAAAUUUCUUCUGUUUUGGUUAAUCUCUAGACUCAGCAUGACUUGGCCCGUUCUCGUUUGCGCUUUUCUCGCAGUAACAAACCAAAGUCCACACAGACUUCAUUAAAGUUUCAUGUUUUUUCAUCUUA